UCAAACAAACAUCAUGCCAGAUAAUAAAGGAAAUCAUAUAAAUCAUGAAAUGCUCAGAUUUUUGGAUCAUGCUUCGCGAAAUCGUUACAACUUCCAUAUCUGAGAGUAGAUAUAGAUUUUCAACUAGCCAAGUACAAUGACCAUAUCAGAUUCAGAUACAACAAUUUACUUAGGCCCAUUUCUAGUUGGCAAAACUAUGGUAUGAUCUAUGACCACAAUCAUACCAGCCAUAGUCGCCCUAAUAGAUACCUAUAAUCAUGACAUUACUUAGCCACGGGUGACCCCUACAGAUAGUGUGACACCACUUUCAUUAGAGGGUAUGCCGUCAUCCACUAGGAGUGGUCCUCUUACGUCUUUCUUGACCAGAUAGGGGAGGGAGAAAUAGAUACAUCAAAUUGCAAGGGGAACAAAAACUUUUUAGAAAUAAAAAGCCUAACGAGUCACUCGAUGC
rnacentral:lncRNA from 1 species